GUUUGAGUGACGCAUAGGGGGAAUCCCUGCCGGGCGUUGGUUGUCCCGGUUCAAGCGGUAAGGUGUUGAAUCUCGCAGGCAAAUCCGCGAGAUGAGCUGAGCCGCGAAGAGUAGUGAUCCUACGGGUGAACGAAGAGGGUGGACUCGUCGUGCCGAGAAAGAGCUUCUAAGGUUAGGUUAUCAGGAACCGUACCGCAAACCGACACAGGUAGGCGAGCUGAGAAUGCUAAGGCGUACGGAAGAACUCACGUUAAGGAACUCGGCAAAUUACAUACGUAACUUAGGGAGAAGUAUGGCCUCCUUCGAGAGAAGAGGUUGCAGAGACCAGGCCU
rnacentral:rRNA from 1 species